CCUAGACUAUGAUGUUAGCAUGGUUUAAUUUUUAGUCGGCGUUGACCUAAUGAUUGAAUGGUAUAUCAACGUGCCAAUUGAAACGACCCGACCUAAAAUGUGAAUUGGGCCAUUUGAAGUAGCCAAAUUAACUCGCGCUGCUCAAGACCCGAUUCUUCACUUGGAUGGCUAAGAUUUUGGGGAUCCACUUUAUAACCCAUUUACUAUCAGAUGGGGCCCAUGACCCGUUACUGUGACCUAAUGGACGUACCUUAUUUUACCUAAUUGAUUGGCUUAUAUUCUUGUGUUCUUUUCACCUCCUUGGCCAUGUGUAUGUGGGUGAUUUCUUGAAUCUUUCUUUGCCAUCUUUGAUUCUACCAUUCCCACAACCUUCGUGGUCGUCUUCUUUGUGAUUCAACCCUCUUUAGUGGUGGUUCUCUAAGUGUGUAAACCUUUAGCAAUUGUAAGUGAGUUUUGAGGUGUUUUGGGUUGUUUGGUUUGAGGUGUUGAUUUGGAUUGUGAAAGUGAGCCUGUAAAGCCUUGGUAGUCAUCAUAUUGUU
rnacentral:lncRNA from 1 species